rnacentral:lncRNA from 1 species
UUCUACAGCAGUUUCUUCAAUUUGUGAAUGCAAGCGUCAUACAAAUGUCGUCUUUAGAUUAAGACUCAAUUAGAAACAGUAAUUUCCUUAUUUCAUAUUCUCACAACUCUUUUUAUUUAAGUCAUGCGUCUCCUCAAUCAUUUAUAUCCAGUACCGGAUCUUAUUCAACUCAAGUAUUUUCAUAUACCACAGAUUCAACACUCAACGUAAGGCCAAAAUAACCACCUUCUCCAUCUUCUCUUCUACCCUCCUACUCCACAUGCGCCACCCCACAUUGCUGCAGUUGAAAUGGAAGACGGUCAAUAAGUUUUCUUGAUUAGAUCCACCUGAGGAGCUUGAACCACAAUAGAUCCACCCGAGCAACUUUGAUAUAUUUGCUUUGCAGCUGUCAUGUAUCCUGAUUUUGGACCUGAUCUGUAAUGUAGUUAGAAGCAUGUAUCAUCUAACAAAAUGCCAAUAAAUCACAAAGUAAAAAAAAACUAAAUUCUGGAAGAAAUAUAACUGGGAAACUGAUUAAAAGAUAAAGACUAUUCUAGUUACAUUGCAUUGUGUACGACAGGCUUAAGCUAUUUGAUCUCCCACUAAUUGAUUGGAGCAAAGAGCCUCUGUCACAUACUAAGCCACUAAUCCAUGACUGAUCAAUUGACCAUGAUUCAAAAUUACAAAUACUGGAAGCACUAUUACCCCUGCAGCUUAGCAGGAUGAACAUCAUAAAGUAAUUUUGUACAAAAAAGGACACCAAAUAGACAAUGUCUCUAAGGGGAAACAUUAGUACUAAGAAGGCAAUCGACACAAGAUGGGGGAAUGGAUUUAGACCUCGUUGGAACUAAACAACCUGACGAGGCAACAUUGAAGGUCGAUCCCUCUUUCGACUUAAACAUGCAAGCAUAGUCCAGCCAAAUUUUAGUGAUGUGGUCGAUAUAAGAUUUCAAACAUUUUACUUGAGUUGGUAAGAAGUAAAUGAAAGACCAAAAUGCUGGUCAAGCCCUAUACUCAACUGAUAAUGGCAGGCUAACACUUCCGCCAACACAAAGGAAGUUCUAGCUCGUACAGGUGAACAUGCACUACAAGCCUACAAAAUACACUUCCAUCUCAGGUUUUAAAAGUUUUCGUUGAACCUUUUGCUCCCAUAUCCUAUGCUACUUUUUAGGCCUUAAGGGACUAUACUAAUUGGCAUUUACUACUUCCUCCGAUCCAACCUUAGUUCAAAACUGCGACACUUAUUAUGGAUCGGAGGGAGCACAAACUAAGGGUAAAAGGAAAUCUACAAAAUUGUAACCAGCUAGUGUUGUACUGCAACCUUUAGUAUAGAUACCUGAACACAAGGGGAAAAAAUGGAAAUUAGUAGACAUAUAUCACAUCAUCAUAAAAUUUACUUGGAAGUGACCAAUAUUGCUUAAACAUCUCAACUAAAUCAAAGCUUGAGAAGCAAAAGUUAAUCUCCUCGAUGCCUUCAUCAUAGAGGAGGUCACACAUCUGCACUUUGCAAACCAACCAAAAAAAUUUAGAUCCAGUAGAGGGAAGCCAACUAAUGAGAUGAGGGUGAUGGUUAGUUGUGGGGUCGACAAUCCGGUGAGGGUUCGGUGACUGCCAGCGGCAAGGCCAGGAAGCAGCGCCAUGGUGAUCAUGGAGCCCGCAGGUCUGAGCCGCCAUGCCUGUCCAUCGGACCCAUGCACAACUGCAGGAUUUGGAGAGCGAGUGGCCGACUGGCCGCGACAGCGCUACCAGAGAGCACGUCGUGGUCAAGACUAAAGCAACCUCAUCCUCCCAAAUCAUUUUCCACUAAUUUUACAAGGACACAGAUGAUUCAGAUAUUUAUAUGUAUAGUUUUUCUAGAACUAUUUGACAUUCGAAAAAUUAUUAUUCAUGCGGGUGCACGUAUGAAUUUCUCCUAUGCAGCUUGCUAGUUUUCUUCACCACCCAAUUCCAUUACCACUGAAUCCGAUCAGAAAAAUAACAAGCUCAUUAAAUUGAAUGCAGUGUGCAUCAACAUAAUAACUCGUUAAUAUAUAGCUCUGUGAUCUCCAAAAAUGAAUGUAGGCAUUCAGUUAUAAAGGCUGCAUUUCUUUUAGUUCUUUCAAGAGACCGGCAGAAACAUUGCCUUUGAAUUACAAAAAUAGAUUAUGUUUAACAGUCAUUUACAUGGUUAUUUCGUUGUAGUGGCAACCCAAUGGGAGAACCUUUUCCGUACUUACACAUUCGACUCGCGCUUUUUAACAAAAGGACAUUCACUGAAUGAAAAGGAAAUAAUUGACGAAAUAAAUGUUGUGGUUAAUUACCUGAAGCAUACUACACAUACUUAAAUGUAAAUGUGUUUGUUAACAAAUCUGCCACACAUUUAGUCAAAUCUAGAUUGCAAUGCACCCCUUCAUUUUGUCCUCAAUAAUAACUUGAUCUGCAUGAAAGCAUCCAAAUUGAGAACAAACAAAAGAUACGUAAAAAGACAUUUAAAUAUCUGGAACAAGUCUCUGCGCUACAACAAAGGUGAACAAGUGCUCAUGUGCCAAAAAAACAAUAAAUCCUUUGGUCAAAAUUGUAUUAAUAACAACCACAAUGUAACGUUUAAUUAGCUCAGAAGUCUGGACCCUGAUGCUGAGAGCUGCUUGCUAAGGUGCAGAAAACUUCAGUUACCUUGCUGGAGCAUGUAAUCUAUGAGCCUGCUGUAGUAGUCCACUCCUUCCUAGUCCACCUUCCCAGUCCCAU